UAAAUUCCCAUCUGGGAUCUGUUUAACCAGUAUGGAGUUUCCUGGAGGCGACGAUGCCAUUCCUGAGGCCAUUGGGAACCUCUCUCAGCCUCAUUGACUGGCACCUUGUGCAUGCAUGACUGCAAGGGCACAUACCUGAAAGAUAAAUUCCCAAAAAAUAACAUUUGUCAACCAUAAGCAGUUCAAGUUUAAACCAAUUUGAAUUCAUGGUUAGUAUAUUUGAUCUCCUCUCCAUUUAGUUUAAGAUAUAAGUUGAUAGAAUAUAGAGAAUCCUACCAGGCAGCAUUUGGAUCAUCAUCAUUUUUACACAUUGGAGGUUGCUUACGGUUUCUUUUUUCAUAGCAUUCAUUUGAGUCUGGUUUGUGGUAGAUGGCUGCACCAAUCGAAUUUAAUUUAUCCUUCUUGAUGGUAACAAGCUCCCAACACAUGGAUAUUGUUAAGGAAGACAUUUCUGAAAUUAAGAGAUUAAUGUUGUUAAACCCCAAGGCACUCGAGCAAAAAACCAUAUACACUAACACUAGUGCUAUAAAUUUAUAAAUGCUACUACAGUCGUAUCAUUUUAUCCACAUCCACAAACAUUAAAGACAUUUAUGUUCCUACCAUUCCAUAUCUGCACAUCUUCUUCAAGCUUCUGGUACACAGGAGUUGCUGACCAGACAAAAUAACCUCCAGGUCGAAGCAUUCGGUUUAACUCCAAGAGAAGAGUACCACCUUGAGCACAAAAAUUAAAUGUUAAAAGUGCUGAACCGGAGUAAAAAUGCCAAAACAUGGAAAUCUGCACAAAGAUCGAUGGAACCUUCAACAUGCCAAGGAACUCUACAGCGUGCACAGUGGAUAAGGUCAAAGACCC
rnacentral:lncRNA from 1 species